rnacentral:tRNA from 1 species
GGCGCAUUCGUCUAGGGGCCUAGGACGCCGCCCUCUCACGGCGGUAACACGGGUUCGAAUCCCGUAUGCGCUA